rnacentral:lncRNA from 1 species
AAAAUGAUGAAGUUAUAAUUAAUGAGGUUACUGUCGAAUCGUUGGCGCUAACCAUUAAUCCCAAAAGCUCGAUCUGUUAGAAAUGCGCAACCAAUUCACUUAAAACGUACAGAUACAGUCCCCACGGGUAUCAAUUGUGACUCGGCCUACCCGGCUCAUGCCACUUCGAACAUGACUCGGCCUACCCAGCCUCACGACAUUCCGAACAUGACUCGGUCCAACCCGACCUUCCGCCACAGGGCAGCAUGCUGGCCCAUUUAAUCCAAUAGUUAUCACAUCGUCUUUUUUAGAUGACAAUAAUUAAAUAUUAAU